rnacentral:misc_RNA from 1 species
UCACCGCUUGCGCGGGCAGUCUCAUUAGAGUCCCCAGCUUUACCUGUUGGCAACUAAUGAUAGGGGUUGCGCUCGUUACGGGACUUAACCCAACACCUCACGGCACGAGCUGACGACAGCCAUGCAGCACCUAGUUUCGCGCCCUUUCGGGAGGUCCCGUUUCCGGGACUGUCGCUAACUUUCAAGCCUGGGUAAGGUUCCUCGCGUAUCAUCGAAUUAAACCACAUGCUCCUCCGCUUGUGCGGGCCCCCGUCAAUUCCUUUGAGUUUCAAUCUUGCGACCGUACUUCCCAGGUGGAUAACUUAAUGCUUUCGCUUAGACGCGUACAGUAUAUCGCACACAUCGAGUUAUCAACGUUUAGGGCGUGGACUAC